AGAGUUUGAUCCUGGCUCAGGAUGAACGCUGGCGGCGUGCUUAACACAUGCAAGUCGAGCGAAGCACUUAUGAUGAUCCUUCGGGUGAAUCAUUUGUGACUGAGCGGCGGACGGGUGAGUAACGCGUGAGUAACCUGCCUCAUACAGGGGAAUAACAGUUAGAAAUGACUGCUAAUGCCGCAUAAGCGCACAGGGCCACAUGGCCUGGUGUGAAAAACUCCGGUGGUAUGAGAUGGACUCGCGUCUGAUUAGCUAGUUGGUGAGGUAACGGCCCACCAAGGCGACGAUCAGUAGCCGGCCUGAGAGGGUGAACGGCCACAUUGGGACUGAGACACGGCCCAAACUCCUACGGGAGGCAGCAGUGGGGAAUAUUGCACAAUGGGGGAAACCCUGAUGCAGCGACGCCGCGUGAGUGAAGAAGUAUUUCGGUAUGUAAAGCUCUAUCAGCAGGGAAGAAAAUGACGGUACCUGACUAAGAAGCCCCGGCUAACUACGUGCCAGCAGCCGCGGU
rnacentral:rRNA from 1 species